GAAAGCUCCAACGUGUUUCACUAUUUUGCCCAUCUUUUAAUUGGAAAAAGUGAAAGAAAAACCCACCAAACAUCCACGCACAACUUCACAGUUGAGAGAGAAAACAAGUGAAGGAUUGAGAACUGCAAUCACUCAUCGUCGACACGGGAAAGCAUGGAACUUUUUCCAGUUGUUUCGUCAUACAAAGGUCGAUUGGCAUCAUAAUUUUUACACUUUGUUGGUGUAUACAAGAUAAUUGAGCUUGUGUGG